GACGAAGGAUGCAAGCGUUAUCCGGAUUCACUGGGUUUAAAGGGAGCGUAGGUGGUCUUAUAAGUCAGUGGUGAAAUCUCGCAGCUUAACUGCGAAACUGCCAUUGAUACUGUAGGACUUGAGUAUAGUUGCUGUGGGCGGAAUAUGACAUGUAGUGGUGAAAUACUUAGAGAUGUCAUAGAACACCGAUUGCGAAGGCAGCUCACAAAACUAUAACUGACACUGAGGCUCGAAAGUGCGGGGAUCAAACAGG
rnacentral:rRNA from 1 species